CAAUUUCAGUGACAGGAUCUGUUGCUGUUGUUUUCAGCCGGUCAUAAGGAUAGAUAGGAAGCCCUUCCUCAUCUUCAGUUUCACCCUCUUUCACAUCCUCCUGUAUUGUUUCUGGUUUCGGUUUAGGAGCCUCAUCCGUUACAUUGUUAACUGAGUUCUCCUUGGAAUCGCCCUGAGGACUUGAUAUUAUCGCCUCCGUGCUCAAUUUUGGUUCUUCAGGGCUCCCUUUGAUAGAUGGAGGUAUUAUGACUUCCUUGGCAGGUAAAGGUUUAUCGAAACUUGCUGUUAGUGCUGCAAUAGCUGCUGAUCUGGGUGCCAAUUUUGCUGAAUCUGGAGUAACAGAUUUUGGAUAAAGCUUUCUCACCAUUGGCGGAGGCGUAGACAGAUUUCUUGCAUUUGGAUUCUCAAAAGUAGCUGCUAGUGCAUUAAAAGCUGGAGACCUGCCCCUAACACGAACUCGGUCAGGGCUGAAAGACACGCUCCUUGAUCGCUGUGACUUCUCGGGAGCAGCAGAUCUUCCACCAUAUGACACAGGUGUUCUCCUUUUAGGUUUAUCUAUUGGUGGAGCGCCUCCAUUCUUCACUAGUGUGAGUUUUCUUUGGAAUGAGUCUCCAUGCAUAGCAGACUUGGUGGAGUCCCAACUGAAAUGACGAGUGAA
rnacentral:misc_RNA from 1 species